CGCUGGCGGCGUGCUUAACACAUGCAAGUCGAACGGAAAGGCCCCCACCUUGGUGGGGGUGCUCGAGUGGCGAACGGGUGAGUAACACGUGGGUGAUCUGCCCUGCACUUCGGGAUAAGCUUGGGAAACUGGGUCUAAUACCGGAUAGGACCAUGGUUUAGUGUCUCAUGGUGGAAAAAUUAUUGUUUUGGUGCAGGAUGAGCUCGCGGCCUAUCAGCUUGUUGGUGGGGUAAUGGCCUACCAAGGCGUCGACGGGUAGCCGGCCUGAGAGGGUGGACGGCCACAUUGGGACUGAGAUACGGCCCAGACUCCUACGGGAGGCAGCAGUGGGGAAUAUUGCACAAUGGGCGCAAGCCUGAUGCAGCGACGCCGCGUGGGGGAUGACGGCCUUCGGGUUGUAAACUCCUUUCGUUAGGGACGAAGCCGCACCUUUUUUGGGUGUGGUGACGGUACCUUUGUUAAGAAGCACCGGCUAACUAC
rnacentral:rRNA from 1 species